UCGAACGAAGAGCAAUACUUAGUGGCAGACGGGUGAGUAACAUGUGGGUAUCUACCCUUUGGCCUGGAAUAACACGAGGAAACUUGUGCUAAUACCGGAUAAGUCUUUACGGAGAAAGCUUUAUGCACCAUUGGAUGAGCCCGCACUUGAUUAGUUUGUUGGUAGGGUAAUGGCCUACCAAGACUAUGAUCAAUAGCUGAUUUGAGAGGAUGAUCAGCCACAUUGGGACUGAGACACGGCCCAAACUCCUACGGGAGGCAGCAGUGGGGAAUCUUGCACAAUGGAGGAAACUCUGAUGCAGCGAUGCCGCGUGAGUGAAGAAGGCCUUUGGGUUGUAAAGCUCUUUCGUCGGGGAAGA
rnacentral:rRNA from 1 species